rnacentral:rRNA from 1 species
UGGAUAACUGUGGUAAUUCUAGAGCUAAUACAUGUCACAAAAGCUAGGCUCGCCUAGCUGCAGGUAUUAGUGCAAACCAUUCGUUUUCGGACGUAGUUUGUUGACUCUGAAUACCCAGUAUAUCGACGGUUUAUCCGUCGAAAGCUCGGAAUAGUGUCUGCCCUAUCAACUAGAUGGUAGUCUAUUAGACUACCAUGGUGAUAACGGGUAACGGAGAAUAAGGGUUCGGCUCCGGAGAGGGAGCCUUAGAAACGGCUACCACAUCCAAGGAAGGCAGCAGGCGCGUAACUUAUCCACUACCACAGUGAGAUAGUGACUAAAAAUAAAAAGUCCAAUCCUAACGGAUCGGAUAUUUCAAUGAAUUGAGCUCAAAUAGCUCUAUGAGGACCUAAUGGAGGGCAAGUCUGGUGCCAGCAGCCGCGGUAAUUCCAGCUCCAUUAGUGUACAUCGAUAUUGCUGCGGUUAAAAAGCUCGUAGUUUGAUCUGGGUUGCAUGCGUUGAUACUCCUUUGGAGCAUAUCUUCGCUGCAGCUAAACUGCUGGUUAACUGCAGGUGUUUUCGGACCCUGUAGCGGCUAGCGAGAUUACUAACACAAAAUCAAAUAGCUUAGAUAAGGCGUCUGCCUGAAUGUUCUAUGCUGGAAUAAUGGAAAAGGACUUCGGUCUUAUUUAUUGGUUCUAAGUUCGAAGUAAUGAUUAAUAGAGACGAUUCGGGGCUGUUCGUAUCAUUACGCGAGGGGUGAAAUCCGUUGACCGUAGUGAGACGUCCAAAAGCGAAAGCAUUCAGCAAGAACGUCUUCAUUAAUCAAGAACGAAAGUCAGAGGUUCGAAAGGCGAUUAGAUACCGCCCUAGUUCUGACCGUAAACUAUGCCAUCUAGCGAUCCGAUGGGGUAAUUUGCCUUGUCGGGGAGCUUACCGGAAUCGAAAGUCUUUCGGUUCCGGGGGUAGUAUGGUUGCAAAGCUGAAACUUAAAGAAAUUGACGGAAGGGCACCACCAGGAGUGGAGCCUGCGGCUUAAUUUGACUCAACACGGGAAAACUCACCCGGCCCGGACACCGUUAGGAUUGACAGAUUGAAAGCUCUUUCUCGAUUUGGUGGUUGGUGGUGCAUGGCCGUUCUUAGUUGGUGGAUUGAUUUGUCUGGUUUAUUCCGAUAACGAACGAGACUCUAUCCUACUAAAUAGUUUCACGAUUUUCAAGUCAUGUAGACUUCUUAGAGGGAUAAGCGGUGUUUAACCGCACGAGAUUGAGCGAUAACAGGUCUGUGAUGCCCUUAGAUGUCCGGGGCUGCACGCGCGCUACACUGGAGGAUUCAGCUGGUCUUCCAUUGCCGAAAGGUAUUGGUAAACCGUUGAAACUCCUCCGUGACCGGGAUAGGGAAUUGUAAUUAUUUCCCUUGAACGAGGAAUUCCUAGUAAGUGUGAGUCAUCAGCUCACGCUGAUUACGUCCCUGCCCUUUGUACACACCGCCCGUCGCUGUCCGGAACUGAGCUGUUUCGAGAAGACUGAGGACUGCUGUUUUGAGGCUUCGGCUUCUUUACGAUGGAAAUCAGUUUAAUCGCAAUGGCUUGAACCGGGCAAAAGUCGUA